rnacentral:rRNA from 1 species
UAAGUGGAUUAGUGGCGGACGGGUGAGUAACGCGUGAGUAACCUGCCUUGCACAAGGGGAUAGCCGUUGGAAACGACCGAAUAAUACCCUAUGAUAUGAUACGUCUCGCAUGAGAUUAUCAUCAAAGAUUUAUCGGUGUAAGAUGGACUCGCGUCUGAUUAGCUAGUUGGUGGGGUAACUGCUCACCAAGGCAACGAUCAGUAGCCGGCUUGAGAGAGUGUACGGCCACAUUGGGACUGAGACACGGCCCAGACUCCUACGGGAGGCAGCAGUGGGGAAUUUUGCACAAUGGGGGAAACCCUGAUGCAGCGACGCCGCGUGAUUUAGAAGGCCUUCGGGUUGUAAAAAUCUUUGUAUGGGAAGAAAAUGACAGUACCAUACGAUAUAAGGACCGGCUAAUUACGUGCCAGCAGCCGCGGUAAUACGUAAGGUCCGAGCGUUGUCCGGAAUCAUUGGGCGUAAAGGGUACGUAGGCGGAUAAGCAAGUUAGAAGUGAAAUCCUAUAGCUCAACUAUAGUAAGCUUUUAAAACUGCUCAUCUUGAGGUAUGGAAGGGAAAGUGGAAUUCCUAGUGUAGCGGUGAAAUGCGCAGAUAUUAGGAGGAAUACCGGUGGCGAAGGCGACUUUCUGGCCAUAAACUGACGCUGUAGGUACGAAAGCGUGGGUAGCAACAGGAUUAGAUACCCUGGUAGUCCACUCCGUAUACGAUGAGUGUUAGGUGUCUGGAAU